GGUGGAUUGCCAGGUCAUAUGGCAAGUAUAUGUUCAAAUUGCCAAACUCUUUUUCAAAGUGGCUGUACCAUUUUGCUUUCCUACCAGCAAU
rnacentral:pre_miRNA from 1 species